AAUUAAUUUUAUUAAUAAGUAUAUUUGUAUUUAGAUAUUUUAUAAAAAUAAUUUAUUUUUAUUAUGUUUUAGUAUUAAUUAAAAAUUAAUUUUUAGAUUUAUAGUUUAUUAGUAUUGUGAAAGAAUUUAAUUAAAUUAAAAAAAGAAUAUUAUAGUACCUUUUGUAUCAGGGUUGAUUAAAAUUUUUAAUUUAUUUUAAAUUCUCAAAAUUUAUAGAGUUAAUUUUAUUAUUAAUUUAUUGUUAUAUAAAUAUUUAGAAAAUAUUAUUAGUUUAGAAAUUUAAUUCGUUAUAUUAUAUUUAGUUAUUUAAGAUUUAAAUUUAAUUUAAAAUUUUAAAAGUUAAUAUUAAUUUGAAUUAUUAAUAUUUUAAAAUUAAAUUAUUUUAGGGAUAAGCUUAAAAUUUUUAUAUAAUAAUUUUUAAUUUAAAAUAAUUAAUAGGAUUAGAAAUUUUUAAUUUAAGUUUGUAAAAAUUUAUUAUUUAUUUAAUUUAAAUUUAUUAAAAUUAUAUUUAUUUUUUAUAUUAAAUUUUAUAAAUUAAUUAUUAAUUUAUAGUAAUAAUGAUUAAAUUAGUAUAAUUGAAAUUUAUAAAUUAUGAAUUCGGCAAAAAUUAUUUUCAUCUGUUUAACAAAAACAUUGUAUUAAGUUUUAUUUAAUAUAGGAUCUGCUCAAUGAAAUAUUUAAAUAGCUGCAGUAUUUUGACUGUGCAAAGGUAGCAUAAUAAUUAGUCUUUUAAUUGAAGACUUGUAUGAAAGAUUUGAUGAAAAAUAAACUUUAUUAUUUAUAAAAUUAAAAUUUUAUUUUUAAGUAAAAAAGCUUAAAUAUUUUAAAGGGACGAUAAGACCCUAUAAAACUUUAUAAUUAAUUAUUUUUAAAUUUUUGGUUUAUAAGUAUUUAAAUUUAAUUAUUUAUUUUAUUGGGGUGAUAAAAAAAAAAUAAUUAACUUUUUUUAAAUUUAUACAUUAUUUAAUGAAAUUUUGAAUUAAAAUUUUUAAUUUUAAGAAAAAGUUACUUUAGGGAUAACAGCGUAAUUAAUUUUUUAAGUUCAAAUUUAAAAAUUAGUUUGCGACCUCGAUGUUGAAUUAAGAAAAAUUUUAGGUGCAAAAUUUUAAAUAUUAGGUCUGUUCGACCUUUAAAUUCUUACAUGAUUUGAGUUCAAACCGGUGUAAGCCAGGUUGGUUUCUAUCUUUUAAAUUAAAAAUUAUUUUAGUACGAAAGGAUUUAAUAAUUAAAUUAAAUUUUAUUUUAUGAAUUAAACUAAUUUAAUACUAUUUUGGC
rnacentral:rRNA from 1 species